AUUAGAUAGGAAAGGAGAAUCUAGAAAUGGCAGCUAUGGUUGAUGUGUGCCUGGAAAAAUUUUUAAAGCUAAGAGCAAAAGUCAGAGCCCGAAAUCCGUUGAUUCAAGCCGCGGCUAAUGAAGUAGAAGAAAGAAAACAACGAAAGCAAGAGUCGACUUCAUCAUCAGCCACCCUCAAGUCACCGGCAAACGCCCUAAGGGAGGGGACGAUGUCAGAAGCGACCGUGUUUUUGCUCAUGGACCGGUUUGCACCAUGUUGAAACUAAACGAGGAAUUGAUCCUCUUUUAUGUACAUGUAAAGAGUAUAUAUAUAUGUGUAUGGAUCUUCAGUCAAGAUCAAGAAACGAACAUAUUCCUGAAUUUGAUUGAAUAAAAGAACUUUAAUGGUCUCAACGACUUAAUCCGUCACACUUAACAAAGCUAUGAAAUCAUGCCAUGUUCAUCUUAUUCGACGAAUACAAGGAUAUGUACAUUUAAAUAGGCUUAUUCAUUAAUGCUGUAACGGGAGAAGAGACUACUUACAGCUAUUUCUGUUUGAAAUUUAUGUUGUGCUAGCCUCGAUGCUUUCGAUAGAAUCUUCAUUCAUACUGAACGUAAGUUUCUCCAUGUCCCACUUCAGGACCUCCCGACCAUAUUUAAAAGCGAGGUCAACGCUAUCAGCUUCCAGUCCUGUAACCGGUGCAACAAACAACUUGCGCCCAGUCAGGGAAUUGAAAAGCCGUUUGAACUUCACAGCGAUGUAGUGGAAAGCACGUUGAGCUAAAGGCGGGUUGGUGGUGUUGUGUGGAUUAAGACUGAUCAGGGGACUAAAAUCCUGAAACCACUCACAUUGCGAUAGAGGAACUUGUUCGAUUUUUUCUUCCAGCAGGUCGAACUUGUUGAGUAUGAGAAUGAAAUUCUUCUGGGCGAAGGACGGAUGGGUGGCUACUCUCUCAAAAAGUUUCUUGUUCGCCAACAUCUUGUUUGUGCAAAUUCCAGUUGCGUCUUCGUGCAAUUCAUCAAAAUCGGUCAAGGAAACGCAAAACAUAACAAGGUUGACGUCUUCAAACAUCUCCAGCCACUUGCAGUUUCCUCCGAGGCUGUUUUCGUUAACUCUAAUGAGUUGGUACCUGGAUGAAAACAACAAAAAUGAUAAGAACUCAUAGCAGGUUGUUUCCUAUUGGCUGGGUUAAAAAAUUUCAUUACAUACACAGAAGAGACAGUAGAAUUACUAUCAGUUACUAAUUGAAUCUUAAGAAAGAAUGACACAAACAUGGAAACAACUUCAGAGAUUUCACUUAAAUUCUUGAUCACAUCAUAGACCAAGCUCGAAUUCUGCCAAAAGUGAGGCAACCGUUUGAUAAUGAAUUAUGCAAGAGAAGUGACUAACCUUAAAAUGGGAUCACUCUGAUCAUUAGAUUCCAUGUAUGCAUCCUGAGAUAAAACGGGAAAAGAAAAUUCCAUGGAUGCAACCCCAUUGGAUGAAGUGAUGCCCUCCGCAUACAAAAUAUCCAUUUCUGAAGGCUCAUAGUUAAUUUUGGAAAUCUCAACAGCCUUCAAAAAGUCGAAUUAGCUUACUGGUGUUAGAAAAUGUAUAUAGUAAGUAUCAACCCGGUAAAGAGAGAUCGUGAGUUAUAACUUACUCGAUCUAAGAAAUAAUUUGAGACUCUUGGUAGUUUAUGCAGUUCAUUUCUUCGUUUGUAUGAGGCUUGAAAGGCUUCGUUCUUCCAUAACUGCUCAAUUAAUGGUGCGUACUCUCGAGUAGCGGCUGGGAAAACGGCCUCCAAGUUGCCCGAACCCAUAACUUGGAGAAGCCAAUCGGAGAAUGCUUUCAGACUCGGACUAAUGGAAUAAAUAUUUUGUUCAUCAACCUCUUCAGAUAUCUCUGUUCCAAACCCAUAAAAAAUAAAAAUAAAAAAAGAUUACAAAUCUUGGCACACUGUUCUAUUGUGCAUAUUAUCAAUUUACAAUUAUGCUUCUAAAAAGAACAUCUAAACUAUCAAUUGCUCGAAUCAAGUAAUGAUAACAGCUGACUUGUUUUUGAUGGCAGAAGAAUCUGCGUUUUUACCUGAAGGACCAGGUUGAUCAAUGUGGCGUUGUCUCCUCAUUUCAACAGAAUAAUCUUCUUCAAAUUGUUCACGACCCUCAAG
rnacentral:lncRNA from 1 species